AACGAACGCUGGCGGCAUGCCUAACACAUGCAAGUCGAACGGGAUCCUGGCUUCGGCCAGGUGAGAGUGGCGGACGGGUGAGUAACGCGUGGGAACCUGCCCAUUGGUCUGGGAUAACUGCGGGAAACUGCAGCUAAUACCGGAUGUACCCGAGAGGGGAAAGAUUUAUCGCCGAUGGAGGGGCCCGCGUCAGAUUAGGUAGUUGGUGAGGUAACGGCUCACCAAGCCUACGAUCUGUAGCUGGUCUGAGAGGAUGAUCAGCCACACUGGGACUGAGAUACGGCCCAGACUCCUACGGGAGGCAGCAGUGGGGAAUAUUGGACAAUGGGGGCAACCCUGAUCCAGCAAUGCCGCGUGAGUGAUGAAGGCCUUAGGGUUGUAAAGCUCUUUUACCAGGGACGAUGAUGACGGUACCUGGAGAAUAAGCCCCGGCUAACUUCGUGCCAGCGCG
rnacentral:rRNA from 1 species